GAUGAACGCUGGCGGCGUGCUUAACACAUGCAAGUCGAACGAUGAAAGCGGGAGCUUGCUCCUGCUGGAUUAGUGGCGAACGGGUGAGUAACACGUGAGCAAUCUGCCCCGAACUCUGGGAUAAGCGUUGGCAACGACGUCUAAUACCGGAUACGACGCGCGAAGGCAUCUUCUGCGCGUGGAAAGAAUUUCGGUUCGGAGUGAGCUCGGGGCCUGUCAGAGAGUUGGUGAGGUAACGGAUCACCAAGGCGACGACGGGUAGCCGGCCUGAGAGGGGGCCCGGCCACACUGGGACUGAGACACGGCCCAGACUCCUACGGGAGGCAGCAGUGGGGAAUAUUGCACAAUGGGCGCAAGCCUGAUGCAGCAACGCCGCGUGAGGGACGACGGCCUUCGGGUUGUAAACCUCUUUUAGCAGGGAAGAAGCGAAAGUGACGGUACCUGCAGAAAAAGCACCGGCUAACUACGUGCCAGCAGCCGCCGUAAGAC
rnacentral:rRNA from 1 species